UUGGCUAAGAUCAAGUGUAGUAUCUGUUUUUAUUAAUUUAAUAUCUGAUAUGUGAAACAUUGUUCUACACAAUAUUAAAUUUAUUUUUUGAGGGAAAGAGUCCAUCAAAAUAGCAAGCUAUUGGGGCUCUUGAGUGUCGUCUUGGAUUUGCACUACAUCCUUGGCCUGGCGCACCCCACCAAAUCUAUAGUAAGUAUUUUUGGAUCCUAGGUUUUCUUUGAAAGAACCAUUGUAUUUGUUUGGAGGCAGGUGUAUAUAGCUAGCAGAUAUGCUCAUUCCAGUGUCUUUUCUGGAUAUAUCUAGUCCAGAUGGCAGUACAUAGAGGACUACUAAAAUUUCCUGGAGUAAUUAACAAAACUCAUUGCUUUAUGUAAUGCAUCACAUAGUAAUGAUAUGCUUUCCAAGGAGCAGAAAUUGAAGUAGUAUCAAACUAGUAUAAAACAUUGGGAAAGCUACAACCUGUGCAAUGAGCUUGUUUCUCCUAUGCGUUGAAGUCCCACCUGGAGCAAUUGAGUUUGAUAGGCACAGGCAGUGAGCUUUAAACCACAAGCACUUGAUAAAAAUAAGCAUACCUUUCUCUGCCUUUUGGCUAAGAUCAAGUGUAGUAUCCGUUCAUAUCAGUUUAAUAUCUGAUAUGUGGAACAUUGUUCCACACGAUAUUAAAUAUAUUUUUUGAGGGAAGAGUCCAACACAAUAGCUUGCUAUUGGGGCUCUUGAGUGUCGCCUUGGAUUUGCACUACAUCCUUGGCCUGGCGCACCCCACCAAAUCUUAAGUUAUUUUGGAUCAAGACUUGUGCUUCGAAUGAACCACUUUAUAUGUAGUCCAUUUGGAGGCAGGUGUAUAUAGCUAACAGAAAUGCUCAUUCCAGUGUCUUUUUUGGAUAUAUAUAUAUUUAGUACAUUUGGCUGGGUUUGUAACUACCAGAAUUACUCCCAAUUCCAGUGUGUUUUAAGUUGAUGUGUGUUGCAGUACUAGGACUACUAAUAUUGCCUCAAGUAUUUACCAUUAGCAAUACUUUUUUACUUUUUUGAUGUGUGUUGCAGUACUAGGACUACUAAUAUUGCCCAAGUAUUUACCAUUAGCAAUACUUUUACUUUAUACCAAGGGAUAUAUAAUAUCCGGAAAUGAUCUUUUUUGAGGCCUAUCCGAUAGAGAGUAUUUUAAAUAGUUAUAUUUUAAAUAGUUUACUUUGUUCUUAUAAGUUUAAUAUCUGAUACGUGGAAUACCUUUACACACGAUAUUAAAUUUAUUUUUUGAGGGGGAGAGUCCAUCACAGUAGCUUGCUAUUGGGGCUCUUGAGUGUCGCCUUGGAUUUGCACUACAUCCUUGGUCUGGCACACCCCCACCAAAUCUAUAGCUAAAUGGUUUAAUUUAUACAUAUAAGGACCCUAGUACAUCCAAACAUGUCUCUGUAAUGAGUCAAGUCUGAAUAUGCAAUACAAAAAUUAGUCAUCGGCCUUGUUAAGGAAAUACUGUUAUUGGACUGAUCAAAACCUUUUUUGCACGAAAAAGUCUGGGCAGACAGUUUUAUUGGACAGGAAAAUGGGAUAAAUACUAUACAUUUUUUGAGAGNNNNNNNNNNNNNNNNNNNNNNNNNNNNNNNNNNNNNNNNNNNNNNNNNNNNNNNNNNNNNNNNNNNNNNNNNNNNNNNNNNNNNNNNNNNNNNNNNNNNAAAAAAAAAAAAAAAUAGAAAAUGUCUCAUUUUUCUGUCCAAUACGCAUGUCUGCGUAGGACUCUUUUUGCACUUACGUCCCACAUCGAUUAGUAGUCGAAACAGAUGUCAGAAACUGCAGUUUCCAAACCCCCUGACUUGGUGAAUGCCUUGGCCAUCAAGAACUUUUGGAAGGGUCUACCUCUAAAAAUGGGUAAAGGUCCAACAAUACCUAGUUCCAAUAAUAUAGUCUGCUUUAAAGUGAAAACAAUCAAGAAACAUGUAAAUAAAUAACUUAGGCCUGCAGAAUAUAGCGAGUAUGGCUCAGAAUUCUUGAUUGUAUCAUAAAAGUAUACUAUUUUAUAUUCCCAGAUUAUAACUACUAAUCAUAAGAUUGUUUUUAUGAGAUUAUAAUGAGAUAACUUAAAAUAAUCUUAUGUUGUGUUUGUUUUUUUCAGAAUUCAUUAAAAGAUUGGAUAAAAAAAAUAUCGUUUGGACUAUUAUACCCUUACCAAUAAUAACAUAUUUUAAACUAUUAUUUAAAUUUGUUUAUACAUAAAAAAAUGAUGAACAAUUAAUUAUAAACUUUUAAAUAAGUGGUUAUAUUAUUCAAUCAAAUGCCCAAUGGUACUAAUUACAUAAUUUAACUUUAAAUAAACAAGUUCAAAUCACAUGACAUGUACAUAAUUUAACUUGCAAGAAUGUUUUUUUGAUAGCCAUGUGAUUUAAGUCUUAGAAAUUUAGAAGAAAGAGAGAGGCCUCUGAGGGAGAGGGAGAGGGAAUAAGGGAAAAGAGGGUGGGUGGGAGAGGAGUUGUGAAGUCAUUUUUGUAUUUGGACAGUAGACUCCCACAUCAAAGAGAGUGGUAAACCUGAUAUAGCAACACAAGGAGAUGAAUCAACCUGUAAGGCCAGAAGUAAUCAAGCAGCCAUGUGGUGAUGACAAAGCCAACUAUUAUUUUGCCUUUUACUAAAGAAUACAGACCUGAGGUUUAAAGAUAUAUACCAAGUGCAGGGCUGAUAUGGCCAGCUUUACAAGAUGUAAUACAACUCACAGAGACAAUAUCCAACACAAGAACUGUCCACCAUCUUGAACAAACAUAAUUGUCCCAAUACCAACGCACUAUCCGGUCCAAUUCUUCUCCAUAUAAUGGCUCAACCAUCCUCUUAACCAGCAGGCUCCAAACUCAGUCAUAUAUUAGUAGUGUAGUAGGGAGUUUAGCAAUUACCAUGGACCAAAAAGAGCUAGCCGAGAUGGCUUGGGGGCUAGGCAGCAGCAGUGUGACCAGCCAUUCUUGUGGGUUGUUAGACCUGGCUCAGUCCAUGACUCAAAAGGGUAUGAUUUGUUAAGGUAGUUCUACUAUAAUAUAUUGAAGAGUGGAACCCAACUUAAUAUUCAAUCAGAAGCAAAAUAAGAACGGGCAUCGUGCAUUGUUAAUGAUCUUCAGAAUUGGAUAUAGGCAAAACUACAGAGCCCGUUCAUUCAAGGGGUCACAAAGGUGACCUUAAAACUAAUUAAAAAUUAAAAAUAGUCGACGGCUUAAAUAAUAGACUAAUCAUGAAAUAAAAUAGACUAAACAAAUAUUAAUAAAUUAGUAUAAAUAAUAAUCAUACCCUACUCAUCAUUUUUGCAAACGAACAUAUUGGUAAAAGAGGGGUAUUGGGCUGGCCAAAAAAGGAAGUAGAGAAUUUCAAAAAUGGAUGCAGUGGCAAUAUAGCAUCAUUCACUUGAGCACUAAGACUAAUAUUUAUUGGUGUCGGCCAACCAAUUCCUCAACAGGUGUGGACAAUUGGCUGUUCUCCACACCGGAGGAAGUGCUGUAUCAUAAUCUAGGCAAAGUCAUUUUCCAAUGCCUGCCCAUUUAGAACCAUUGCUUCCCUUUUCACUUAGGUUGAUUCUAUGAUUGGAUCCUCCGGAAACCUUUCCACUAGUUACAUCUACAUAUCUUUUUGUUAUUUCUUUUUCCUUUCAGUUGCCAUUUGGAGACUUCCACACUUAGCUGAAACAACAUCACUAGGAGAAGGGUGAGACAUGUUGCUGUUAUGUCCCAAGUCAAAACACUCCUCCUUGCUGCUCAUGCUCCCAUGUUCCUCUUGUGCUUUCGAUUUUCCGAUAGAUUUUGGCCUGAAUUCUGUAGAUUCAUCUAGACAACCAAACGAAAAAAGAGUUUAAACUCGGAGCAAAAUAAUUCUAAAAUCCAGUAAACUUAAAGUAGAACACAAAAGAGAAUCAAGUUAUAACAUUCAAAAAAAGUAAUUUCAUAUUAAUGCCACACCUAUACACAAUCACAGAGAGAAAGAAGAAUUGGUCCAUGAUGAACUAGCAAGGCUGCAUCUGGAGACCCCAGACAACCUAUCUGAUGCCAAUUCCUCCCCAGGAAAUCUGUUACAUCUAAUAAAGACUAUUAACAAUACUUAUGUUAACUUCUGAUUUAAUGGAGUCUUUCUUUGAACAUUCAUUAUACCAAGUCUCUUUUUUGAUCAACAUUAUACUGAGACUCUAAAUGAUUGUUUUGCAGUUAUAUGCAUUAAACCCUAACACUAACAAGAUUUAUGAUAGAUUCUUAAUCGAAGAGAAAACAACUUUUGUUUUAUGAUAUAUCACCUGCAACACCAAUUGUAGUAUAAUGAUAAAGGUGCUUGAAAUUAAACUUGAAAGAGGUGCUAAUCUGUAUAUAUUAUAUUACACAGAUUCUUGUCGGUAAUUAGGUCGGGCGCAAACUCAGAAUGGAUUGAGUUGUUGCCAGAAGAAUUUAAAGAAACAGUUGAAGAAAGUGUUGGUGACCUGUUAAUCAAAUAAACUGCACAAGAAACAACUUCUGUCCAAAAAUGGCAUGGCAACUUUUUCAUUUUAAGCAUGCACCGAACCAUGUUCAUAACUGUACGAUUUUUCCUUUCGCAAACACCAUUUUGUUGAAUGGGGUCCCCAAAGGGAGGUUCUAGGCCAUGAUACAGUGGGAGGGUUUUGGAGCCAUUGUGGUUGGAAUUCGACUUUGGAAAGUAUUAGUAAAGUGGUUCCAAUGAUAUGCAUGCCAUAUUUGAGUGAGGUUUGGAAGGUAAGCCUGCCAUUGGAACAUGAGUUGGAGAGAGGGGCGAUCGCAAGAACUAUAUGGAUACUCAUGGUGGACAAGCUAGGAAGGAGGGGAAAUAAGACGGAACACAACUGAUUGGAAGGAAAAGAUCAGGGGUUCUUCAUAUAACUCGCUGACUGAUUUAACAGACCUUAUUUUGUCAUUCCAAUUGCCUAAUUGACUUAAUCAUCAUCAACACUCAAGAUUUCUGAUAAAGAUAUGAAGUUGUUGGCCCCUAUUAUAUUGCAUUUUUCAUAUGGUGUAGGCAUAUGCAAAACAAAGAAAAAUUGCAAUAUUUUAGAUUUUCUUUGGUAAAUUUAAUUUUCAACAAACAUAAUGUAAGCAGACCAAAAUGUCAGUUCACACUUCAUAUAUAUCUAUGCGAUCUGAUGGAUAGAAAUUCAUGCUUGAACUUUAUAUUUUUUGUAUUGAAAGGUUGCUAUUUUUUCACCAUUAGAGUAAGCUGUGUACCGCAUUAAAUUAUUUGUUUACAUUUAUUCUAGAGAUGGGCAAUACAAUUUUUUUGAUGGUGUUUUGAUUAAUUGCUCUUUUAAAAUAACAUCAAACUCAUACAUUAUCAACACCAUAACAUGUGUAGGCUCGAGUCCGGUGCUUGUGAUCGAACUUCAAUGUAAUCUAAUCUGUGAAUUUUCCAUAGAUUGUCAGGAUCUGUUGUGAUACAUGUAUAGAUAAGAGAAUAUAUUUACUUUCAUUUAAAUGUUUUAGGAAAAAUUGUUCAUAUAAAUUCUGCAUUUACCGUUUCUUGUUAAUGCUUUCCAAGGAGCAGAAAUUGAAGUAGUAUCAAACUAGUAUAAAACAUUGGGAAAGCUACAACCUGUGCAAUGAGCUUGUUUCUCCUAUGCGUUGAAGUCCCACCUGGAGCAAUUGAGUUUGAUAGGCACAGGCAGUGAGCUUUAAAACCACAAGCACUUGAUAUAUAUAAGCAUCCCUUCUCGGCCUUUUGGCUAUGAUUAAGUGUAGUAUUUGUUUAUAUCAGUUUAAUAUCUGAUAUGUAGAACAAUGUUCCACAUGAUAUUAAAUUUAUUUUUUGAGGGGAAGAGUCCAUUUCAAUAGCUUGCUAUUGGGUCUCUUGAGUGUCGCCUUGGAUUUGCACUACAUCCUUGGCCUGGAUUACUCCACCAAAUCUAUAUCCCAAGUGUUUUUAGAUCCAAGGUUUUCUUUGAAGGAGCCAUUGUAUUUGUAGUCCAUUUGGAGGCUGGUGUAUAUAGCUAGCAGAGGUAUGUUCAUUCUCGUGUAUUCCAGAAUUAAUCCCAAUUCCAGUUUGUUUUAAGUUGAGGUGUGUUGCAGUACAUAAGAACUACUAAAAUUUCCUGGAGUAAUUAACAAAACUCAUUGCUUUAUGUAAUGCAUCACAUAAUAAUGAUAUUUACCAUUAGCAAUACUUCAUAUAGCACGGACUACUUGUACCUUUUUCACUUUGUACCAAGGGAUAUAAUAUCCGGAGAUAAUAUCCAGGACGACCCUUCAAUACUUCCAAACAUGUGUCUAAAUGGGUCAAGUUUGAAUAUGCAAUACAAAAAUUAGUCAUCAGAACUUGAGUAGCCUCGCUAAGGAAUAUUGAUAUUGGACUGAUGUAUGUUCCACAUCGAUUAUUAGUCGAAGCAGAUGUCAGAAGCUGCAGUUUAAAACAGGCAAUCGGCAGAGUAAGAUAGUAUCUUUGCGCUUGGGGCAAUGACGCAGCUAGUGAGGUACUAACUGAGGCGCGUCAAUUGCUGGUUGAAAACUAUUUCCAAACCCCCUCUUUGGCCUUGGUGAACGCCUUGGCCAUCGAGAAUUUUUGGAAGGGCCUCCCUUUAAAAAUGGGUAAAGGUCCUACAAUACCUAGUUCCUAAAUUUAGCUGCUCUCUAUUUUGAUCGUCUGACGUGUUCCAUCUGUCAUUCACCCAAGUUACCACAUUAUUAUAUUUUAGAUAUCUCUUAAUUGUUAAUACAUAAAACUAAUUAGAAUCAGAAUGAAGUAUUUGCCGAACUCCGGAUAAAUAAACUAUUGUAUAAUAAGCUUAAGCCAAUGUUGGAUUGUUUUUGCAUUUGGUGCCAUUUAUAAAAACCUUUUAGUUUUUUCAUCCAAUUUGAUCUUGUUGUCAUUCUCCAGUAAACUCCCACAUCAAAGAGAGUGACAAACCUAAUAUCGCAACACAAGGAUAUGAAUCAACUUGUAAGACCUAAAGCUUUCACGAAGCCAUGUGGUGAGCACAAAGUGAACUAUUCUUUCGCCUUUUACUAAAGAAUACCGUGUGCUUGUCACUCACAGUGGCAUACGCCUAUUUUUGGAGGGGAUUUCCUUUAGGAAACUCUCCCUACAAUCAAAGUUGAUUAAUAAUUUUAGUUUCUUAAUGGUCAGGAUUAUAUUGUGCAUUCAUAUGGUAAAAUCUUGGAUUCAUGAAUAAAACUAUAAUUAGUGGUAAAAUAACAUUAUCAGAAUUGUUAAAAAAAGACUAGGUUAGUGGAGAAAAUAUAAGAGAUUAGUAGUAUUAGUCAACUAGGUUAUGUCACAGCUCAAACAAGCUAUGUACGUACUACAAUGGUUGGGCAGUGUUACUUUGUUGUGAAAAGACCAUUUGUUUUGUCAUUGCAAUUAAUACAUAAAAAACCAAAAAGACGAAACCAAGAUUUGAAGUUAACUAAUUUAAUUUGCUGCUACUCCUAUAAGUUCGAUUGGAAGUUCAGUUAAAUAGUUGCAAAGUAAGUAGGAGGAGUCCUUUCCUUGACAUACGCACAAGGGCGAAACCAAGUCCCAUAUGGAAAGAAGUAGAAACAAAGCUUUAGUACUUAUCCAACUUUGAGAGCUAUAACAGACUUAUCCAACUUUGAGAGCUGUAACAGACACGAUCUGUUCUAUAGGCUCGUACCUCUAUAUCCUUGAUUUCUAUAUCCUUUAUUUCAAGUCAAGUCUCUCUUGGCUGGUGGUGGUCCUGCAGUUGUCUGACAGACUCUCUAAUCAUCUUUUUAGGGAGUUUAGCAACUAGGCAUGAG
rnacentral:lncRNA from 1 species